GUCACCGGCCGCAGAUUAGAGGUAUCUAUGUUUAACCCCGGGUGGUCGGCUGAUAUCUCGACAUGCCUUAUGCAUGAUAGUGCACACCUUGGUUUCAAACGAUUCUCUACAGAUAGAAUGGGGCUACAUGCUUGGGCCCCUGUUGAACACACACCCACACCCUUUGUUUUUGAAACAAACACACACACACACACACACACUCCUGCUGCUCCGUCACACGCACACUCAUGCACGCACCCUGAUUUUCCGUGUCUUUUUUUCUUCGUGACAGACCGGGGUGAUGUCGGGAAAGGACAUUUUCCUAUCGUUAAAGGGUGAGAUACAUUUUUUAAACCAGUGAUUUAAUUCCAAAAUAUUUAGUACAUACGUUUUAAAGACGUGUUAGAAUUAAUGACCAAAUUGUACUACUAUUUAAACAAGAAUCAUUAGUAUUUUAUGUAAAAACAUUGGAGGCCUACAGUUGUACCGCACACUCACGCACGCACCCGGAUUUUCUGUAUUUUUUUCUUCGUGACAGACGUGGUUGAUGGCUGGAAAGGACAUUUUCCCUUCGUUAAAGGUUCUCACUGAAGGGGAUAAUUCUCACUGAAACUACAGAAUAAAGCCGCCAGUUAAAAUCAUGGAACGGUUGUGCUCGUGGUUACUGAAGGGAGCUACAAGACCAUUAUUCGUUUCGAAUUCACCAACUCAAAGACGCUUGCCCGCUCCAUCAUAACUCCGUAAGUUUUCCCUCCCUGUGUAGAUCAAACGUCCUGCCUGUAAAUCCUGGGUAUGCCCACAUCAUUAAUGAAUAAGAUGUGUAGAAAACUGUUUAGCCAUAGUUAAAGGCCUUUCAUAAAGAGCCUGUCAUGAUUGCAUGUCCCUUAUGUUUAACACGUAUUGCUUGUUACAGAAUACUACUGUUGUACAUUUAAUAUCCCCUAGCAGAUUUCGUUGCCUUUGCACAAAUUCUGUCAUGUUACUGUGGUCUUUUUAAAAGUCAAUAAAAAUGUGUGUAAAGUG